UAGAGCAUUAUUAGAGACCUUCAUCCCUGCACUCUGGCUAUUUGUACCCUUCUGCAGAGAAUGAAUUAGUGCCAUGUUUCAGCUGGAUUUCAUGACUGCAUUUUCCAGGCAGUAUUAAAAUCGGUUCAUGCCAAGUGUUUGGAACAUGAGCCUGUUGUGGAUGUAAUGUCAUGUUUCAUGGGACCUGGUUACCUUGUGGAAAGAGAUAUUUGCAUUGUAGACUACUUGGUUGUUCUUUGAAACACUGAACUUUUCUGACAAGCAGUAGGAGAGGGGAAAAAGGGGGGAAUAAAUACUAAAAAUCUCCAGGUAGGUGCAAGUUCCAGCAAAUUAGAGAUUACUUAGCCAUAUUAUUUGCCUCGAAGGCAGAAACAUCUUAGCCCUUCACUGUGCUCGCAUCCCGCUGGAGUUAAUCUAUUUGUUAUUGUCUAUUAUUGUUCAGGCAAAGAAAGAAGCCUGCUGUAGGACUCUCGCCGGUGGGCAGAGGUGUUGUGCAGGUGGAGAAAGCAGGCUCCCGCCGCCUCUGCCCGCCUCGUUCGCAUCCUGCUCGGCCACAGCUGUGCAGAGAAAGGCCCUGUUUUAUCGUGGUGGCUCCAGGACCAACCUCAGUGACACCUGUGUGGAGCACUGUGAUCGGCUGGGUGCUAAGUAGGAGUCUGGCUCCCAGGGGCGUUUUUCAAAGCGCACAGGAGGCUCUGGCUUGUGAUGCAGGCGUUUGGGGAAGGUUCCCCCCAUCCCGCCCCGUCAGCCGCUGGGGAAGCGCUUUUGGCUUUCUGAAGGAUGCCAAGCAGAGUUAAGAAGAGAGUAUAUGGGAAUACAACUAUGAUCAUUUGAGAGAGACCAGAUUAGUGAAGUGCCUGCUUGUCGUCUGUCCAGGAGGAACCACGUGCGUCGUUAUCUCCCCGUGUUGCUGCUAGACGCAGAUGCGGGCAGACAAACGCCAGCGAGAGGACGCCCUCGUUUGCGGAGAAGUUGCCCAAGGUUCCCGUGCAGCUGAGUUGCCAUCCAGCUCUGUUUGGCAUGUGAGCUGAGCAAGGGACGGGUGAGAUCCCAGCGGUUUUGGGGGAUGGGGGCCUGCUGCUU
rnacentral:lncRNA from 1 species